UUAGAAUACAUUAUGAACCUGAGCCUUACAAUGUUUGUUUCAAAACCCCACUCUGUACCUGUAUACUCAAAUGAAGCAUUGUUUGGAAACCAAAGAGGAGGGUUAUAGUCUUCACAUUUAAAUUAAGCAACAGCGAUGUUCUCACCUGACACAGCUAGUAAAUUCUGGUGAGCUUCACUCUACACAAAAUUGCCUAUUUUGCUUUUUUUAGCUCUUUUCACAGGCUUUCCAACAAUAUUCCAUAGGAACAUGAGUGAAAUUCAUUAAACCUUGGAGUUAAUUGAAGGAACUAGAAUUGAUGAGAAAUAUUUUUUUUAAUAUCCCACUGUUAAAUUAACGUCUAAGAUAACAGAGGUUGAUGGACAAAAUUUACGUGGAGUACAAUAUAUAUUAUGACAAACCCCAACAUACAUCUUAGGCCACAAGGAAGGGUAGUAAGAAAUCCAGAAACAAACUCUGCAGGUAAAAUGCCACCACGGAAGAACUAACUGCUCUUUAUAUGAUACAAUGAAAAAAAAGCCUAGUUCUUGAAAAGUCAACUUUGUCAUGAGGAUCUUAAAGUAGCACCUUUUUGAUAUUCAGUCAAAAUACAGGAUGACUGUUUCGAAGAUGGAAGUGACCCUGUUCUGAUCACUUUAUCUCACUCUCAGGUCUACAGUCACUUUAUCACUGCAGGGUGCAAGGAAAACAAGGACCACGCUGGGAAGCUGUACUGGAACUGCCUCGAAAAGACAGAGAGAGGCGUGCAGGCAAGAGCAGGAGGCAGCGCAUCUGCGGGAGAACCUCACGUUCUCAUCAACGUUUGGGUGGUGCUGUCCGAAAUGCCCGCUUGCCUGUCCCAGGGAGAGGCUUCCAGAGGGAUCGUCCUGCGCCUGCAGAGCCGCUGAGCGCCCAUCCGCCAGCCCUGGGAGAGUCCCCCAGGGCCCUGCCGGCAUCCCGGGUCUCCCAUCUUCUUCUGGACAUCCCGUUUUUAACCCUCAGCAUGUGUCGCGCUCACGGUGCAGGAUGAGGCUCCGGGGCGCGGUUCGAUGCGGAGCCGUCCCGCAGCCGCGUCUGUACCGGGACAGUCCCGGCCCCCCCGUACCCUGGGGGCUCAGCCACCCAGCCACGCACGGGGCUCGGCAGAGCUUACUGGGGACACUGGGCGCUCCGGGCGGGACAAAGCCUGGAGAGCCCUCCGGGGGUGCGCGGGGGCGGCGGUGACAUCCGCGCACACCCCGCGGCCGCACGAGGGGGCGGUGCUGCCUCCUCCGCUCUGUGCCGCAGGCGCGGGCAGCGCUCCACCGCCCAC
rnacentral:lncRNA from 1 species